AAAAAGAAAGAAAAUAUACGUUCCAGGUAAGAAGUACUGUUUUUUUCUAUCUUUCUAUCUUCAGGUGGAAACCACUAUGUUCCAAGGUGUUUCAUAUACUGCAACUAUGAACUUUCUACUAAGCUUAACUGCUUGAGGCAAUAGUGCAAGAUGCUUUCUUUCUUCUGAAAGAUAUCUAGAUUAAACUCAAUACAGUAACAAUUGCUUUCUAUACAAGACAUUUCUUCACAGUUUUUCUUUUCAGCACAUGCUUGCACUUCUAUGACAGGGUAGUGACAAAGUUUGGGGCUACCCUGGCACCUAAAGCUCAGUUCACUCUAAUCUCAAGCGAGCAGAUCAAGGGUUAAAGUGAUAGAGAGAAGAAGGGUGCAGAGUGCAGCAGCUUGCAUUUCACCAUCUGGACUUGAUUCUCAAGCCAACCUCAGAUGAACAUGUGACCUUGAGGAAAUUACUUCUCUCUGAGUGUCCGUUUUCUCAUCUGUAAAAUUGAGAGUUGAGCCAACUGACCUUUCAAUUUUGGUCAUUCUAAUGUUUUGAAACAGUGGGUGGAAAAUGAGCAAAAUGAUAAAAAAGUGCCAUGCAUACCAGAUUGAAGAGAAAUGCUUGCAGACUGCAGAUGUGCUGUGGCAUGAGCACCCCCUCGGCGCACACUCAGAGUGAGCAGACUGCUGAUCUUACAGAUCACCCCUUGCACCAUCCUAGUUCUCAUCACAAGGACAAAAACCAUCUCCAACCUCUGCAAAAGUAAUCGGUGUCUGAAUCUGAAGCAAAGAAGCACAGGUACUUCAUCAAAAAUGAACUCCUCGGUUAAAAAAUCCACUGGAUUUCCCCGAACCCCCAGGAACCCUUCAGUGGCCUGCCCAUUUCUGCCUCCACGAGGAGCUGUGCAGGUGCACCUUGCCCCUCUCUGCUUUGCCCUGCAGCACGCAGCUGGUUUCCUGACUGCAGCACCGCAUUGCUGACUCACAGGCAAUGGCAUGACUACCCAGAACCUCGCCGUCUCUUUCCGCCUCCUCACACGUAGUCAGCUAUUUCCCCUGCAAAGAUGGGCACACUUGAACCUUCUCCCCAUAGUGUGACUACAUCUACUCCUAGCUUCUAAUUCUAACCUCUUUUUUAAAUCACCAGUGUCACUUUCAAUUCUGAAUUUUUAUUAAACUAAUAUAAUUCAGUUUAUGCAACCUUGUCAUUGGUAAACUUAAAUUACUUAAUAAUCUUUAUUGGAUUCUAUUUUGUCAGUGAUUGAAAUUAGAUCUACCCUGGUGCCAAAACUUCUUCCUACUGGACACUACUACCUCUUAUAUACCCAGCUUACUAUUCAUUUUCUUUUUUUUUUUUUUUUAUCUUUUAUUUAAUGAAUAUAAAUUUCCAAAGUACGACUCAUGGGUUACAAUGGCUUUCCCCCCCAUACCGUCCCUCCCACCCACAACCCUCCCCUUUCCCACUCCCUCUCCCCUUCCAUUCACAUCAAGAUUCAUUUUCGAUUAUCUUAAUAUACAGAAGAUCAGCUUAGUAUACCUUAAGUAAGGAUUUCAACAGUUUGUUCCCACACAGAAACAUAAAGUGAAAAAUAAUAGAUGAUUUUUUUUUAAAUCAUGAUGAAAUCAGAUCAGACCUAUUGUCAUGUUUUAAUCCCAGUGAGAGUCAAGUUGGGAAUUGAUAAUUUCUUUUUUUUUUUUUUUUUUAAUUACAGAAGAUCUGUUUAGUGUACAUUAAGUAAAGAUUUCAAUUCGUUUGCACCCCCAUAG
rnacentral:lncRNA from 1 species